UAGUGCACAAUGGAGGAAACUCUGAUGCAGUGACACCGCGUAUAGGAAGAAGGUUUUCGGAUUGUAAACUAUUUUAGACAGGGAAGAAAAAAGACAGUACCUGUAGAAUAAGCUCCGGCUAACUACGUGCCAGCAGCCGCGGUAAUACGUAGGGGGCAAGCGUUAUCCGGAUUUACUGGGUGUAAAGGGAGCGUAGACGGCAGCGCAAGCCAGGAGUGAAAGCCCGGGGCCCAACCCCGGGACUGCUCUUGGAACUGCGCGGCUGGAGUGCAGGAGGGGCAGGCGGAAUUCCUGGUGUAGCGGUGAAAUGCGUAGAUAUCAGGAGGAACACCGGUGGCGAAGGCGGCCUGCUGGACUGCGACUGACGUUGAGGCCCGAAAGCGUGGGGAGCAAACAGG
rnacentral:rRNA from 1 species